rnacentral:rRNA from 1 species
CACGGGGUUGCGAGCGUUGUCCGGAAUUACUAGGCGUAAAGGGCAGGCAGGCGGAUCCAUAAGUUUAUCGUUUAAGGCGUCGGCUUAACCGGCGUAGGGCGGUAGAUACUGUGGAUCUGGAAUGCGGUUGGGGAAGACAGAAUUCCUGGUGUAGCGGUGGAAUACGCAGAGAUCAGGAGGAAUACCGAAGGCGAAGGCAGUCUUCCAAGCCGUUAUUGACGCUCAACUGCGAAGGUGUGGGUAUCAAACAGGAUUAGAUACCCUGGUAGUCCCUGAG